rnacentral:hammerhead_ribozyme from 1 species
GCAUUGCUGACGAGUCCCAAACAGGAAGAAACACCUGUCCAGUGC